AUUGAACGCUGGCGGCAGGCCUAACCCAUGCAAGUCGAGCGAGCGGCGGACGGGUGAGUAAUGUCUGGGAAACUGCCUGAUGGAGGGGGAUAACUACUGGAAACGGUAGCUAAUACCGCAUACCAUCAGAUGUGCCCAGAUGGGAUGAGCUAGUAGGUGGGGUAACGGCUCACCUAGGCGACGAUCCCUAGCUGGUCUGAGAGGAUGACCAGACACACGGGACCUGAGACACGGUCCAGACUCCUACGGGAGUCAGCAGUGGGGAAUAUUGAACAAGGGGCGCAAGCCUGAUGCAGCCAUGCCGCGUGUGUGAAGAAGGCCUUCGGGUUGUAAAGCACUUUCAGCGGGGAGGCGUUACCCGCAGAAGAAGCACCGGCUAACUCCGUGCCAGCAGCCGCGGUAAUAC
rnacentral:rRNA from 1 species